AAAUGCCCAAAAAGCAACACACCUUUGUGAUCGUCCUCCUUCGCCACCAUAUGACUUUCCAGGAUUCAAAAGCCAGGAAAUCUUUAAACCAUAUGAAGUGCUGACUGGGAGCUACCAGUCACUGCCGCAUGGUGGAGAUGCUGAUACUAGGGAUACUACGGAUACUACCCAGUUCAUGUGUGGUUUCGCAAUGCCAACAAUCCACAGGCCAUCAGUUCUAGGUCCUGAUGUCACACCUGAUGUCAAGCCAGAUCUGCUGACAUUGUCACCUUCACAAGUGGAUGUCUUGAGUGCUGUCGGUGGCUCG